CAACCUCAACUCAUAUGGGACUACCCCCUGAAUUUAAGCAUAUUAAUUAGGGGAGGAAAAGAAACUAACAAGGAUUUUCUUAGUAGCGGCGAGCGAAAAGAAAACAGUUCAGCACUAAGUCACUUUGUCUAUAUGGCAAAUGUGAGAUGCAGUGUAUGGAGCGUCAAUAUUCUAGUAUGAGAAAUUAAUGAUUUAAGUCCUUCUUAAAUGAGGCCAUUUACCCAUAGAGGGUGCCAGGCCCGUAUAACGUUAAUGAUUACUAGAUGAUGUUUCCAAAGAGUCGUGUUGCUUGAUAGUGCAGCACUAAGUGGGUGGUAAACUCCAUCUAAAACUAAAUAUAACCAUGAGACCGAUAGUAAACAAGUACCGUGAGGGAAAGUUGAAAAGAACUCUGAAUAGAGAGUUAAACAGUACGUGAAACUGCUUAGAGGUUAAGCCCGAUGAACCUGAAUAUCCGUUAUGGAAAAUUCAUCAUUAAAAUUGUAAUAUUUAAAUAAUAUUAUUAAGAAUAAUGUGCAUUUUUUCCAUAUAAGGACAUUGUAAUCUAUUAGCAUAUCCCAAAUUUAUCAUAAAAUAUAACUUAUAGUUUUAUUCCAAUUAAAUUGCUUGCAUUUUAACACAGAAUAAAUGUUAUUAAUUUGAUAAAGUGCUGAUAGAUUUAUAUUAUUACAGAGCGUUAAUUUUUCGGAAUUAUAUAAUGGCAUAAUUAUCAUUGAUUUUUGUGUUUAUUAUAUGCUCUUGUAUGAUUAACAAUGCGAAAGAUUCAGGAUACCUUCGGGACCCGUCUUGAAACACGGACCAAGGAGUCUAACAUAUGUGCAAGUUAUUGGGAUGUAAACCUAAUAGCGUAAUUAACUUGACUAAUAAUGGGAUUAGUUUUUUAGCUAUUUAUAGCUAAUUAACACAAUCCCGGGGCGUUCUAUAUAGUUAUGUAUAAUGUAUAUUUAUAUUAUUUAUGCCUCUAACUGGAACGUACCUUGAGCAUAUAUGCUGUGACCCGAAAGAUGUGAACUAUACUUGAUCAGGUUGAAGUCAGGGGAAACCCUGAUGGAAGACCGAAACAGUUCUGACGUGCAAAUCGAUUGUCAGAAUUGAGUAUAGGGGCGAAAGACCAAUCGAACCAUCUAGUAGCUGGUUCCUUCCGAAGUUUCCCUCAGGAUAGCUGGUGCAUUUUAAUAUUAUAUAAAAUAAUCUUAUCUGGUAAAGCGAAUGAUUAGAGGCCUUAGGGUCGAAACGAUCUUAACCUAUUCUCAAACUUUAAAUGGGUAAGAACCUUAACUUUCUUGAUAUGAAGUUCAAGGUUAUGAUAUAAUGUGCCCAGUGGGCCACUUUUGGUAAGCAGAACUGGCGCUGUGGGAUGAACCAAACGUAAUGUUACGGUGCCCAAAUUAACAACUCAUGCAGAUACCAUGAAAGGCGUUGGUUGCUUAAAACAGCAGGACGGUGAUCAUGGAAGUCGAAAUCCGCUAAGGAGUGUGUAACAACUCACCUGCCGAAGCAACUAGCCCUUAAAAUGGAUGGCGCUUAAGUUUGUAUACCUAUACAUUACCGCUAAAGUAGAUGAUUUAUAUUACUUGUGAUAUAAAUUUUGAAACUUUAGUGAGUAGGAAGGUACAAUGGUAUGCGUAGAAGUGUUUGGCGUAAGCCUGCAUGGAGCUGCCAUUGGUACAGAUCUUGGUGGUAGUAGCAAAUAAUCGAAUGAGACCUUGGAGGACUGAAGUGGAGAAGGUUUCGUGUGAACAGUGGUUGAUCACGAGUUAGUCGGUCCUAAGUUCAAGGCGAAAGCCGAAAAUUUUCAAGUAAAACAAAAAUGCCUAACUAUAUAAACAAAGCGAAUAUAAUACACUUGAAUAAUUUUGAACGAAAGGGAAUACGGUUCCAAUUCCGUAACCUGUUGAGUAUCCGUUUGUUAUUAAAUAUGGGCCUCGUGCUCAUCCUGGCAACAGGAACGACCAUAAAGAAGCCGUCGAGAGAUAUCGGAAGAGUUUUCUUUUCUGUUUUAUAGCCGUACUACCAUGGAAGUCUUUCGCAGAGAGAUAUGGUAGAUGGGCUAGAAGAGCAUGACAUAUACUGUUGUGUCGAUAUUUUCUCCUCGGACCUUGAAAAUUUAUGGUGGGGACACGCAAACUUCUCAACAGGCCGUACCAAUAUCCGCAGCUGGUCUCCAAGGUGAAGAGUCUCUAGUCGAUAGAAUAAUGUAGGUAAGGGAAGUCGGCAAAUUAGAUCCGUAACUUCGGGAUAAGGAUUGGCUCUGAAGAUUGAGAUAGUCGGCUUGAUUGGGAAACAAUAACAUGGUUUAUGUGCUCGUUCUGGGUAAAUAGAGUUUCUAGCAUUUAUGUUAGUUACUUGUUCCCCGGAUAGUUUAGUUACGUAGCCAAUUGUGGAACUUUCUUGCUAAAAUUUUUAAGAAUACUAUUUGGGUUAAACCAAUUAGUUCUUAUCAAUUAUAACGAUUAUCAAUUAACAAUCAAUUCAGAACUGGCACGGACUUGGGGAAUCCGACUGUCUAAUUAAAACAAAGCAUUGUGAUGGCCCUAGCGGGUGUUGACACAAUGUGAUUUCUGCCCAAAUGUCUUGGGUAAGUCUGGAAUGGUAAAAAUCUCUCAGGUAAAAAUAUUCACUAUGUAACGAAAUGCUUAAGAUCCUCCUACUAUCUACUAUCUAGCGAAACCACAGCCAAGGGAACGGGCUUGGAAUAAUUAGCGGGGAAAGAAGACCCUUUUGAGCUUGACUCUAAUCUGGCAGUGUAAGGAGACAUAAGAGGUGUAGAAUAAGUGGGAGAUAUUAGACCUCGGUUUGGUAUCGUCAAUGAAAUACCACUACUCUUAUUGUUUCCUUACUUACUUGAUUAAAUGGAACGUGUAUCAUUUCCUAGCCAUUAUACGGAUAUAUUUAUUAUAUCUUAUGGUAUUGGGUUUUGAUGCAAGCUUCUUGAUCAAAGUAUCACGAGUUUGUUAUAUAAUCGCAAACAAAUUCUUUAAUAAAACGAUGCAUUUAUGUAUUUUUGAUUUGAAAAUUUGGUAUAUAACUCCAAUUACUCAGGUAUGAUCCAAUUCAAGGACAUUGCCAGGUAGGGAGUUUGACUGGGGCGGUACAUCUCUCAAAUAAUAACGGAGGUGUCCCAAGGCCAGCUCAGUGCGGACAGAAACCACACAUAGAGCAAAAGGGCAAAUGCUGACUUGAUCGGUGUUCAGUACACACAGGGACAGCAAAAGCUCGGCCUAUCGAUCCUUUUGGUUUAAAGAGUUUUUAACAAGAGGUGUCAGAAAAGUUACCAUAGGGAUAACUGGCUUGUGGCGGCCAAGCGUUCAUAGCGACGUCGCUUUUUGAUCCUUCGAUGUCGGCUCUUCCUAUCAUUGUGAAGCAAAAUUCACCAAGCGUUGGAUUGUUCACCCAUGCAAGGGAACGUGAGCUGGGUUUAGACCGUCGUGAGACAGGUUAGUUUUACCCUACUAAUGACAAAACGUUGUUGCGACAGCAUUCCUGCGUAGUACGAGAGGAACCGCAGGUACGGACCAAUGGCACAAUACUUGUUCGAGCGAACAGUGGUAUGACGCUACGUCCGUUGGAUUAUGCCUGAACGCCUCUAAGGUCGUAUCCGUGCUGGACUGCAAUGAUAAAUAAGGGGCAAUUUGCAUUGUAUGGCUUCUAAACCAUUUAAAGUUUAUAAUUUAUUUAUAAACGACAAUGGAUGUGAUGCCAAUGUAAUUUGUAACAUAGUAAAUUAGGAGGAUCUUCGAUCACCUGAUGCCGCGCUAGUUACAUAUAAAAGCAUUAUUUAAUACAAUGACAAAGCCUAGAAUCAAUUGUAAACGACUUUUGUAACAGGCAAGGUGUUGUAAGUGGUUGAGCAGCUGCCAUACUGCGAUCCACUGAAGCUUAUCCUUUGCUUGAUGAUUCGA